rnacentral:rRNA from 1 species
UGGGGAAUCUUCCGCAAUGGACGAAAGUCUGACGGAGCAACGCCGCGUGAGUGAAGAAGGUUUUCGGAUCGUAAAAACUCUGUCUUUUGGGGCGAACGUGAGUAUGGUGAACAAUCAUAGUCAGUGACGGUACCAAAGGAGGAAGCCACGGCUAACUACGUGCCAGCAGCCGCGGUAAUACGUAGGUGGCAAGCGUUGUCCGGAAUUAUUGGGCGUAAAGAGCGCGUAGGCGGGAUAGUCAGUCUGUUGUAAAGUGCGGGGCUCAACCCCGUGAUGGCAAUGGAAACAGCUAUUCUUGAGUGCAGGAGAGGAAAGUGGAAUUCCCAGUGUAGCGGUGAAAUGCGUAGAUAUUGGGAGGAACACCAGUGGCGAAGGCGACUUUCUGGACUGUGUCUGACGCUGAGGCGCGAAAGCCAGGGGAGCGAACGGGAUUAGAUACCCCCGGUAGUCCUGGCCGUAAACGAUGGGUACUAGGUGUGGGAGGUAUCGACCCCCUUCCGUGCCGGAGUUAACGCAAUAAGUACCCCGCCUGGGGAGUACGGUCGCAAGACUGAAACUCAAAGGAAUUGACGGGGUCAUAGCUGUUUCCUG